CAAUUGAAUUGCAUUGGGAAAGACUGCGCACAGCCACGAGCAAGAACUGACUCUUGAACAAGACAAUCGAUAUGGCUUUACGAAAACUGAUUUUCCGCGUCUAUGCAUUGAACAGCACACCUCAUUCUGUAAAGGUUUUGAAUACUCAUAUGUCUGCCUUUAGUGUAUUGAGUCCUAACGCCGACUUGAGAGUAAAACAUGACCGAUACAACCUCUGCUUUUCUAUCAACCUGGACGGCGAAGGACAUCAGGAUAGCGCGCACGAGCAAGAAGGAGGUAGAUCUACUGUCAACUUAUGUACCCGAGUCUUUCAGGGGCAAAGGUGUUGCAGCUCUUCUGUCAAAGGCUGCCAUGGAUUUUCUGGUGGAAGAAAACCUCAAGGCCCAUAUAUCUUGUUGUUAUAUUAAGAAAUAUGUUGAGGAAACCCCACUUCUUGGUUAUAAGCAUCUUAUUAUAUUCUGAAUAAACUGCAUCCUUGAUGAAUAGUGGUUGGUUAUAAAAAUACAAAAUACUUUAAAAUAAUGUAUUCAGUAUAUACAGUACUAGUCAAAAGUUUGGACACACCAACUAAUUCAAGGGUUUUUCUUUAUUUUUACUAUUUUCUACAUGGUAGAAUAAUAGUGAAGAGAAUCAAAACUAUGAAAUAACACAUGGAAUCAUGGAGUAACCAAAAAAGUGUUAGACAAAUCAAAAUAUAUUUUAGAUUCUUGAAGGUAGCCUUGAUGACAGCUGACAGAAACUGACAGAUGACAGAAACGGAAGUCCAUAAUUACUUUAAGACAUAAAGGUCAGUCAAUCCGGAAAAUGACAAGAACUUUGAAAGUUGUACAGUCGCAAAAACUAUCAAGAGCUAUGAUGAAACUGGCUCUCAUGAGGACCACCACAUGAAAGGAAGACCCAGAGUUACCUCUGCUGCAGAAGAUGAGUUCAUUAGUUACCAGCUUCAGAAAUUGCAGACCAAAUAAAUGCUUCACAGAGUUCAAGUAAAAGACACAUCUCAACAUCAACUGUUCAGAGGAGACUGCAUGAAUUAGGCCUUCAUGGUCAAAUUGCUGCAAAGAAACCACUACUAAAGGACACCAAUAAUAAGAAGAGACUUGCUUGUGCCUAAAAACACGAGCAAUGGACAUUAGACUGGUGGAAAUCUGUCCUUUGGUCUCAUGAGUCCAAAUGUGAGAUUUUUUGUUCCAACCACUGUGUCUUUUUGCGACACAGAGUACGGAUGAUCUCUGCAUGUGUGGUUCCAACUGUGAAGCAUGGAGGAGGAGGUGUGAUGGUGUGGGGGUGCUUUGCUGGUGACACUGUCAGUCAUUUAUUUAGAAUUCAAGACACACUUAGCCAGCAUGGCUACCACAGAAUUCUGCAGCGAUACGCCAUCCCAUCUGGUUUGCGCUUAGUGGGAUUAUCAUUUGUUUUUAAACAGGACAAUGAUCCAACACACCUCCAGCCUGUGUAAGGGCUAUUUGACCAAGAAGGAGAGUGAUGGAGUGCUGCAUCAGAUGACCUGGCCUCCACAAUCACCCGAUCUCAACCCAAUUUCAAUGGUUUGGGAUGAGUUGGACUGCAGAGUGAAGGAAAAGCUGCCAACUAGUGCUGAGCAUAUGUGGGAACUCCUUCAAACUGUGGGAAAUGCAUUCCAGGUGAAGCUGGUUGAGAGAAUGCCAAGAGUGUGCAAAGCUGUCAUCAAGUCUACCUUGAAGAAUCUAAAAUAUAUUUGGAUUUGUUUAACACUUUUUUGGUUACUACAUGAUUCCAUGUGUUAUUUCAUAGUUUUGAUAUCUUCACUAGUAAUCUACAAUGUAAAAAUACAAAUAAAGAAAAACCCUUGAAUGAGUAGGUCUGUCUAAACCUUUGACUGGUACUGUAUAUGUGUGUGUAUAUACAGUGCCUUGCGAAAGUAUUCGGCCCCCUUGAACUUUGCGACCUUUUGCCACAUUUCAGGCUUCAAACAUAAAGAUAUAAAACUGUAUUUUUUUGUGAAGAAUCAACAACAAGUGGGACACAAUCAUGAAGUGGAACGACAUUUAUUGGAUAUUUCAAACCUUUUUAACAAAUCAAAAACUGAAAAAUUGGGCGUGCAAAAUGAUUCAGCCCCUUUACUUUCAGUGCAGCAAACUCUCUCCAGAAGUUCAGUGAGGAUCUCUGAAUGAUCCAAUAUUGACCUAAAUGACUAAUGAUGAUAAAUACAAUCCACCUGUGUGUAAUCAAGUCUCCGUAUAAAUGCACCUGCACUGUGAUAGUCUCAGAGGUCCGUUAAAAGCGCAGAGAGCAUCACGAAGAACAAUGAACUCACCAGGCAGGUCCGAGAUACUGUUGUGAAGAAGUUUAAAGCCGGAUUUGGAUACAAAAAGAUUUCCCAAGCUUUAAACAUCCCAAGGAGCACUGUGCAAGCGAUAAUAUUGAAAUGGAAGGAGUAUCAGACCACUGCAAAUCUACCAAGACCUGGCCGUCCCUCUAAACUUUCAGCUCAUACAAGGAGAAGACUGAUCAGAGAUGCAGCCAAGAGGCCCAUGAUCACUCUGGAUGAACUGCAGAGAUCUACAGCUGAGGUGGGAGACUGUCCAUAGGACAACAAUCACUCGUAUAUUGCACAAAUCUGGUCUUUAUGGAAGAGUGGCAAGAAGAAAGCCAUUUCUUAAAGACAUCCAUAAAAUGUGUUGUUUAAAGUUUGCCACAAGCCACCUGGGAGACACACCAAACAUGUGGAAGAAGGUGCUCUGGUCAGAUGAAACCAAAAUUGAACUUUUUGGCAACAAUGCAAAACGUUAUGUUUGGCGUAAAAGCAACGCAGCUCAUCACCCUGAACACACUAUCCCCAUUGUCAAACAUGGUGGUAGCAGCAUCAUGGUUUGGGCCUGCUUUUCUUCAGUAGGGACAGGGAAGAUGGUUCAAAUUAAUGGGAAGAUGGAUGGAGCCAAAUACAGGACCCUUCUGGAAGAAAACCUGAUGGAGUCUGCAAAAGACCUGAGACUGGGACGGAGAUUUGUCUUCCAACAAGACAAUGAUCCUAAAUAUAAAGCAAAAUCUACAAUGGAGUGGUUAAAAAAUAAACAUAUCCAGGUGUUAGAAUGGCCAAGUCAAAGUCCAGACCUGAAUCCAAUCGAGAAUCUGUGGAAAGAACUGAAAACUGCUGUUCACAAAUGCUCUCCAUCCAACCUCACUGAGCUCGAGUUGUUUUGCAAGGAGGAAUGGGAAAAAAUGUCAGUCUCUCAAUGUUCAAAAUUGAUAGAGACAUACCCCAAGCGACUUACAUCUGUAAUCGCAGCAAAAGGUGGCGCUACAAAGUAUUAACUUAAGGGAGCUGAAUAAUUUUGCACGCCCAAUUUUUCAGUUUUUGAUUUGUUACAUUUUUUUGAAAUAUCCAAUAAAUGUCGUUCCACUUCAUGAUUGUGUCCCACUUGUUGUUGAUUCUUCACAAAAAAAUACAGUUUUAUAUCUUUAUGUUUGAAGCCUGAAAUGUGGCAAAAGGUCGCAAAGUUCAAGGGGGCCGAAUACUUUCGCAAGGCACUGUAUAUAUAUAAUAAUAAUACAUAUGGAUUAUUUUGCAGUCUACCUUAUUUAGCAUUCUCUGACCAUGCCUUUGAGAAAUAUUUAUUCAGGAGUACGUUCAAUGAGAGGCCAAAAUAAGAAACCAUGUCUGAGUCACUUCAAAUGUAGCUUACUAUUUCCAUCAGAAAGGAAAAAUUAUAUUGAUGGAAAGAAUUCUUCUUUAUAAAGUUGUCUGUUGUAUUACUUGCUUGUUUAAAUUAUUUGUGAAUAAUCUCUUAUAUUUGUUUGUACAUUUUUCAUUGAUUGAACAAUUGUCAUUUCUAUAAUAGAUUACAUUGAUAUCAAACACC